rnacentral:rRNA from 1 species
AACGUCUCAGUUCGGAUUGUAGUCUGCAACUCGACUACAUGAAGCUGGAAUCGCUAGUAAUCGCGAAUCAGAAUGUCGCGGUGAAUACGUUCCCGGGUCUUGUACACACCGCCCGUCACACCAUGGGAGUCAGUAACGCCCGAAGUCAGUGACCCAACCAUAACCGGAGGGAGCUGCCGAAGGUGGGACCGAUAACUGGGGUGAAGUCGUAACAAGGUACC